GGAGCUGGCCUUUAACCAUCCCUUUCCCACCAAACAGUCUUUCCAGGUUAAGCAGUAAUUCACCUCCAGUUCUUCCAACCUCGCCCAUCUAGCAUUUGAUAUUCACAGCGUGGUCUCUUCUGCACUGGAGAAAGCAAACACGGGUCGGGUAACUGCUUUGUGGAACACCUUGAUCCAGUUUGCAGAUGGAUGUGAUUGCUCUACAGAGAAGGUUCACCAGAACAUUGCCUGGUAUGGAGUGUUUCAAUCACAAAGUGAAACUGGAAAGGGUGGGUCUGCUUUCCUUGCAACAGAGGAGGGUUCAAUGCUUCACGCUGAUGGUAUGGGCUCUAUUUGCAAUUAAUAGG